rnacentral:rRNA from 1 species
CACGUAGGCGGAUCAGAAAGUCAGAGGUGAAAUCCCAGGGCUCAACCUUGGAACUGCCUUUGAAACUCCUGAUCUUGAGGUCGAGAGAGGUGAGUGGAAUUCCGAGUGUAGAGGUGAAAUUCGUAGAUAUUCGGAGGAACACCAGUGGCGAAGGCGGCUCACUGGCUCGAUACUGACGCUGAGGUGCGAAAGCCAGGGUAGCGAACG